CUUAAAGGAAUUGACGGAAGGGCACCACCAGGAGUGGAGCCUGCUGUUUAAUUUGACUCAUCACCGGGAAACUUACCAGGACCGGACAUAGUAAGGAUUGACAAAUUGAUAGCUCUUUCUUGAUUCUAUGGGUGGUGGUGCAUGGCCGUACUUAGUUGGAGGAUUGACUUGCCUGGUAAAGUCCGUUAACGAACGAAACCUUAACCUGCAAAAUAUCCCGCACUAACCCGUCCAUCAAAACCCAUGCGUGGCUCACGCGGUCCGCUGCGGGGUGGUGUCGCUUCGCGGCGAUGUCAUCCCGCCGGCAGGGCCCGGGUCCGUGUGGGCGGUAGGGUUCGGCGUCCGUGCUUCUUAGAGGGACUGCUGCGCGCCUAGCCAGCGGAAGUUUGAGGCAAUAACAGGUCUGUG
rnacentral:rRNA from 1 species